AGCGAACGCUGGCGGCAUGCCUAACACAUGCAAGUCGCACGGGUCGGCUUCGGCCGGUCAGUGGCGGACGGGUGAGGAACGCGUAGGGAUCUGUCCUCUGGGGGGGGAUAACCGCGGGAAACUGCGGCUAAGACCGCAUGGUGCGCCGGUGUGAGAGCCGGUGUCAAAGUCGCGCAUCGCGAGGUGUGUGUCGCCGGGGGGUGAGCCCGCGUCCGAUUAGCUGGGUGGCGGGGUAGUGGCCCACCAAGGCGUCGAUCGGUAGCUGGUCGGAGAGGGGGAGCAGGCACACUGGGGCUGAGAACAGGGCCAGACUCCUACGGGAGGGAGGAGGGGGGGAUAUUGGGAAAUGGGGGAAAGCCUGAGCCAGCAAGGCCGGGGGGGGGAAGAAGGGCUUAGGGUUGGAAAGCCCUUUUGGGCGGGAGGAUAGGGACAGGACCGGGAGAAAAAGCCCCGGCUAACUUUGUG
rnacentral:rRNA from 1 species